AACGAACGCUGGCGGCAUGCCUAACACAUGCAAGUCGAACGAGAUCUUCGGGUCUAGUGGCGCACGGGUGCGUAACGCGUGGGAAUCUGCCCUUUGGUUCGGAAUAACAGUUGGAAACGACUGCUAAUACCGGAUGAUGACGAAAGUCCAAAGAUUUAUCGCCAGAGGAUGAGCCCGCGUAGGAUUAGCUAGUUGGUCUGGUAAAGGCGCACCAAGGCGACGAUCCUUAGCUGGUCUGAGAGGAUGAUCAGCCACACUGGGACUGAGACACGGCCCAGACUCCUACGGGAGGCAGCAGUGGGGAAUAUUGGACAAUGGGCGAAAGCCUGAUCCAGCAAUGCCGCGUGAGUGAUGAAGGCCUAGGGUUGUAAGGCUCUUUUACCCGGGAUGAUAAUGACAGUACCGGGAGAAUAAGCUCCGGCUAACUCCGUGCCAGCAGCCGCCGUAA
rnacentral:rRNA from 1 species